UGCCAGACUCCUACGGGAGGCAGCAGUGGGGAAUAUUGCACAAUGGGGGAAACCCUGAUGCAGCAACGCCGCGUGGGUGAAGGAGCGUUUCGGCGCGUAAAGCCCUGUCAGCGGGGAAGAAGAAAGACGGUACCUGACCAAGAAGCCCCGGCUAACUACGUGCCAGCAGCCGCGGUAAUACGUAGGGGGCAAGCGUUAUCCGGAUUUACUGGGUGUAAAGGGAGCGUAGGUGGCAGGGCAAGUCAGAUGUGAAAACCCGGGGCUCAACCCCGGGAGUGCAUUUGAAACUGUCCAGCUGGAGUGCAGGAGAGGUAAGCGGAAUUCCUAGUGUAGCGGUGAAAUGCAUAGAUAUUAGGAGGAACACCAGUGGCGAAGGCGGCUUACUGGACUGUAACUGACACUGAGGCUCGAAAGCGUGGGGAGCAAACAGGAUUAGAUACCCUAGUAU
rnacentral:rRNA from 1 species